ACUAUAGUAGUGGGGGACAUAUUGUUUUUGCCCUGUCUGUCUGUUGGUCUGUUUGGCCCAACUUUAACAUUUUGCAAUAACUUUUGCUAUAUUGAAGAUAGCAACUACAUAUUUGGCAUGCAUGUGUAUCUCAUGAAGCUGCACAUUUUGAGUGGUGAAAGGUCAAGGUCAUCCUUCAAGGUCAGAGGUCAAAUAUAUGUGGCCAAAAUCGCUCAUUUUAUGAAUACUUUUGCAAUAUUGAAGAUAGCAAUUUGAUAUUUGGCAUGCAUGUGUAUCUCAUGGAGCUGCACAUUUUGAGUGGUGAAAGGUCAAGGUCAUCCUUCAAGGUCAGAGGUCAAAUAUAUGUGGCCCAAAUCACUUAUUUUAUAAAUACUUUUGCAAUAUUGAAGAUAGCAACUUGAUAUUUGGCAUGCAUGUGCAUCUCAUGGAGCUGCACAUUUUGAGUGGUGAAAGGUCAAGGUCAUCCUUCAAGGUCAGAGGUCAAAUAUAUGUGUCCCAAAUCGCUUAUUUUAUGAAUACUUUUGCAAUAUUGAAGAUAGCAACUUGAUAUUUGGCAUGCAUGUGUAUCUCGUGGAGCUGCACAUUUUGAGUGGUGAAAGGUCAAGGUCAUCCUUCACAAGGUCAAGGUCAUCUUACAAGGUCAAAUAUUUUAUUUUUGGGCAUUCAAACGAUAUACACAUUUUAUUUCAUGUUCAAAACAUAUUUUCGGAUUGUCGUUUUUAGACACAUUUUUGCAUUGAUUUAAUUUUUUUGACGUCCUUGAUUAACAUACAUAGAAUGACGAAUACACAUGAGGUGAUACAGACGGUCUGAUUUAUAAUAUUUCGCACAGUACUCACCAGAAAUAGCAACUAGAAAGACUAUUGAAUAGAAUAAUUAGUGAGGGCUCGAGGGGGGGGGGGGGCACUGCCCUUUAUUUACAUUGGGGACUUGAGUCCACAGACCCCCCCCUCCCCCACGGCCUAAUUUUCCGAAUUUUAAAUUUGGGACUAUGGACACCCCUGAGUGUGUUCUAAUCUCCUGAAGCAGAAAAACAACUGCCUUGUUGCAUACAUCAACGCUUCUCAGGAAUAGGAAUAAGUCACCAAAGAGUAGAACUAUAAGACUUUCAAUGGAAUAAAGCUAGAAUACAAAGGUUUGAACUAGUCUUUGAAAUGAAUCACUGAUAUGAGCUGCAUACUGAGACAACUAGGCUUAAUGCAUGUGAGUAAAGUGUCAUCCCAGAUUAGCCUACCCAGGAUUCUUGUAUAGAGGCCUCCUUUUAAUGAAAAGUACCAUUUAAGUGCCAAGGCUGCAAAAGCUUAUUUGGGAUGACACUACACAACAUGCAUUAAGCCCAGUUUUCCCAGAACGAGGCUUAUAAAGUGUAUGCACUGCUGUCAAUGGUGAACAUCUUUCUGCCUGGUUGCAGCUGUGAAGAUAAAGAAGAAUAAGGACAAUGUCAAGUUCAAGGUGCGAUGUAGCCGCUUCCUCUACACA